UGGGGAAUAUUGCACAAUGGGCGAAAGCCUGAUGCAGCAACGCCGCGUGAGUGAUGAAGGCCUUCGGGUUGUAAAGCUCUGUCUUUUGGGACGAUAAUGACGGUACCAAAGGAGGAAGCCACGGCUAACUACGUGCCAGCAGCCGCGGUAAUACGUAGGUGGCAAGCGUUGUCCGGAUUUACUGGGCGUAAAGGAUGCGUAGGCGGAUUUUUAAGUGAGAUGUGAAAACCCUAAGCUUAACUUGGGGACUGCAUUUCAUACUGGAAAUCUAGAGUGCGGGAGAGGANAAUGGAAUUCCUAGUGUAGCGGUGAAAUGCGUAGAGAUUAGGAAGAACACCAGUGGCGAAGGCGAUUCUCUGGACCGUAACUGACGCUGAGGCAUGAAAGCGUGGGUAGCAAACAGGAUUAGAUACCCUGGUAGUCCACGCCGUAAACGAUGAGUACUAGGUGUAGGAGGUAUCGACCCCUUCUGUGCCGCAGUUAACACAAUAAGUACUCCGCCU
rnacentral:rRNA from 1 species